rnacentral:lncRNA from 1 species
AGAGAUAUGUUACGUGUACGUAUUAAGUGUCAGACAUUGUGUCGACUCAUUUCUCGUAGAUGGGAUGUGAGACGGCACGACGUUUAACACGUAAUACGUUACAUGGAACACUUUUCUAUUUCUGACUCCAAUGUAAUUGUUAGUUACCUGUUACCACUUCUGCUUGCAAGUGAAAAUAUGUAAAAGAUAAAACCGUGGCAUGAAUACUCAAAUGUCAUAGUAUUCAACACUUGCAAUUCCUGAAAUAUGUGAACUAACAUCAUUGAGGAUUAUAAUUAUCCUCCAAGUUUUGUGAUCGGUGUAUUACCAUGUAAUGUAGGCAGAGUUUUUCGUUCAUUUUUUUUUCUCCAGUUAUAGAAUAUGCAAUGGUAGAUCUUAAAAAAAAGUAGCUUGCACACACUAAGUAUAAAUAAAUCUUUUUUAUUUAUCAAAUGAAGUGCUUCUGUCCAAAAAACUAUAUCAAAUGAGGUCUUAAUUUUUUUAUUUAUUUUUAUGACACAAUUCUAAAAAGAAGAAUGUAAGAGGGUCAUCAAAAUUUAUUGUUUUUGACUAUGAGUUAAUUAUUAAUAUUUUAAAAUAUAGAAUAAAAUAUAUUAUUGAAUUAUUAAAUUAAAACUAAAAAAAUUAGACUAAAAUAAUUAUUUUGAUGAACAAGUGGGUACACAUUGCUCGGUAUUAGGAGCUGAUUUGCUUUUCUUCUUCAUUAUUCCCUUUGUCACUUAUUUUUUAUUAGGUAAUGACUUCAAACCCUGAACAUGCAUCAUUAGAGACAACAAUUCUUGAUGCACUCCAUAUGAUGCAUGAUGGGAAGUUCUUACAUCUUCCAGUGGUGGACAAAGGUAAAUUUGCUUUUUCAAAUGCAUACAUAAUCUCUCUACUCUUUUUCCUUUUUUUUGGCAUCGAGUAUUAUUUGUUUUUUGCAGACGGCAACAUUGCUGCUUGUUUGGAUGUUUUGCAAAUAACAACUGCUGCAAUUUCUCUGGUAAAUUUUAUGUUUUAAAUACUCGUAAAAUGUUGAAUAAUGGACUACUCUGUUAUCAAGCAUCAAUUUUAACUCCUUAGCUUUUAACUUUUGAAGAAAAUUUUUUCUACCCUCUACUUGGAUGGCAUAUCUUAUAAUUUUUCCCGCUGAAAGGAUUAUUCUGGAGUUUGUCUUAAAUUCUUCAAAUUUUGUCUUUCUUUUUUUGUUCCUAAUUAAAUGAUAAAAGUUGUCUACAUAUAUUAUCCAACUGUGUUUUCCGUAGUCAUUGAAUUUGAUUGAAGGAAUUGAAGUAUUGAUAAAGUAUUUGUGCCUUCUAGAUGCAAUGGUAUUCAUGUAUAUGAUUGUUUCCAUCUAUAUUUGGACUAUUGCUGAAUGUUAGCUGUUACCCUUCCCCGAACGAUCAGAAUAUUGCUGCAAGUUAGCUUUUCAUUAUUCUUCUUGCAUAUUUUCUUGAUAAUUCUUUUUGGAACUGUUGGCUAUGUACUUACCUGACAUACAGUGAAUAUUGUUUAUUAAGCUUUGUAUACACCUUUGUAUCUAAAUUUGCUAUUAUCAUGCAGAUUGUGGUGUCUUGUUACUAAGCUAUUUAUAUGUAAUUUGUAGGUUGAAAGUAGCUCUGGAACUGUAAAUGAUAUGGCAAACUCAAUUAUGCAAAAAUUUUGGGACUCAGCUUUAGCGCUAGAGCCACCAGAUGAUUAUGACACUCAGAGGUACUUUGGUUGUAGCUAUUUUACUUCAGUAUACAAUUUUUUUUGGCCAUUUAACAAGCAUUUAUGUUUGGUCGCAGUGAAGUUUCCGGGAUAAUGAAUUCAGAUGGAGCAGAUACUGCAAAGUCUACAUACCAAACUGUAGGUCAUGGAAAUUCAUUUACUUUUAAAUUUGAGGAUCCUAAUGGUCGAGUGCAUCGAGUCACCUGUGGUGAGUGACAUCUUGGAAAAGCAUUGCUAGUACAUCAUUUGUCUUAUCGAAAAUUAGCCUUCAGCUUCUUGUGGAUAAACGUUAAUGUUGUAAUUUUUCUUUCCUACCUAUUCUUUUAUUCUUGGAAAAACUUUGUAUCACCUCUCCCUUUUCUGUAGGAGCGGAAAAUCUAGAUGAGCUUGUAUCUGCUAUCAUGGAAAGGGUCAGUAAUAAUGACAGAUCACGCCCCGUAAUUUUGGUAUGUCUUCUUCUAGUUCAGGUCUCUUCCUUUUGAUUGUAAGCUCAUGUAUUUAUUAUGUUGCUUGUUUUUUCUUUCCUUCUAGUAUGAUGACGAUGAAGGUGAUAAAAUUGUUAUUGCAAACGAUAGUGAUCUCGUUUCUGCUGUCAGCUAUGCUCGAUCUGCAGGACUGAAGGUGAAGAUUAUGCUUUUACAAGCUAUUGUCUCGGUUUCCAUGGUUUAAUUCUUAUUUGGUGUAUGCAUUUAAGCAUCUUUAUAUUUCAGGCCUUGAAGUUGGAUUUGGAGUUUACAGAUUCAGCUAAACCCGUGACACCACAGUCUGCAAUAGCCAUGACCACAACCACAGCUACGAGACGGAAAACAGAAGGCGGCAUGUUGUCCAUUCGCUCGAGUAUUUUUGCAGGUGCUGUUGUUCUAACGAGCAUUGGCGUGGUGGCUUACUUGAAGCGCUCAAAUCAGUGAUUUCUUCACCAGUUGGAAAACACAACAGGCAGUAAAAAUCAUACUGUAUAAACUCCUUAGCUUUAUUGUCACUUAAAUCUUCAUUCAUUGCAGCAAGGUGAUGUGAAAGUUCUCCUUUACUAUAUUUUGUAGUUGUUUUAGCCAAUGUCUUGUGAGGGUUGUUUGGUUUUGCAUAUAUUUUUAAGAGAUAUGUUACGUGUACGUAUUAAGUGUCAGACAUUGUGUCGACUCAUUUCUCGUAGAUGGGAUGUGAGACGGCACGACGUUUAACACGUAAUACGUUACAUGGAACACUUUUCUAUUUCUGACUCCAAUGUAAUUGUUAGUUACCUGUUACCACUUCUGCUUGCAAGUGAAAAUAUGUAAAGAUAAAACCGUGGCAUGAAUACUCAAAUGUCAUAGUAUUCAACACUUGCAAUUCCUGAAAUAUGUGAACUAACAUCAUUGAGGAUUAUAAUUAUCCUCCA